rnacentral:lncRNA from 1 species
AGGCAGAGGUGGUGACGGUAUCUCAGGAGGCAGAGUGGAAUCAAAUCCAGCCCUUUCUUAAAAGAGAGUUGGAAGAUUUUCCUGUACUUGGAAUUGACUGUGAAUGGGUUCUAACGUUCCUGAGGCUAAGGGCUGUGCCAUCCAUAAUUCUGUAUGCAUUGUGUGAUGUGAGCCUCAAACAAGGUCAGAGCAGGCAGGCUUCCUCAGCCUUCCCAGUACCGCCAUGGUUGGCAGGUGAAUUUGGAAGGCAAAGCCAGUCCUUUGUCACUCCUACAGAUGGCUUCCCCAAGUGGCUUCUGUGCACUGGUUCGCUUGCCCAGGCUGAUAUAUGGAGGCAGAACACUACCCAGGACGCUUUUGGAUAUAUUGGCAGAUGGUGCUAUCUUAAAAGUAGGAGUGGGAUGUUCAGAAGAUGCCAACAAGCUUCUACAGGAUUAUGGUCUCAUUGUCAGGGGAUGUCUGGACCUUCGCUACCUAGCCAUGAAGCAGGGGUACGGUUUGCAUGCAUGCCAGGAUUCCUGUGGGGGCAAGCAUUGUUUAUGAGCUGUAGUUAACUAGCGAUCAAUAAUGAAGCAUUUAAAAUUGUUAGAAACCUAAAGGCUUUGGAAAUGCAUACUGGAUUUGUGAGGAAACAUACCAAUGUCUGAGAAAGUUUAGUUGGCUAAAAUUUCUUUUUUGAUGAAACUGUAAUCACCUGUAAAGGGGAGGUUAUAAACCAGUGACCCACUGGCUAAGUUAAAACUGUUUGCUUUGUUUAUUUUUUUCCUGUGUGAAAUCUGUUUUAAAUCCAGAAGACUAGAUAUAAGAAUCUCUAUUUGUGUAAGUUUUCAGAAAUUACAUAACCUCUGACCUCAGAGUCCAGAGUUGUAGGUGGUAACAGUGGGCCAGGUUUGGUCUUUUCCUUUUUGAUGUGCAUACUCAAUUUUUAAGAAAUAAUUUAAUUACUU